rnacentral:tRNA from 1 species
GCGCCCUUAGCUCCGUUGGAUAGAGCAACGACCUUCUAAGUCGUGGGCCGCAGGUUCGAAUCCUGCAGGGCGCGCCA